GGUUUUGUUGGGAGGAUGUGUUUGAGUCUGGUUUGUUGGGAGGUUGGGAGGGUGUGUUUGAGUCUGGUUGAUGGUUAUGUUGGGAGGGUGUGUUUGAGUCUGGUUGGCGGUUAUGUUGGGAGGGUGUGUUUGAGUCAGGUUGGUGGUUAUGUUGGGAGGGUGUGUCUGGGUCAAGUUGGUGGUUAUGUUGGGAGGGUGUGUUUGGGGCAGGUUAGCGGUUAUGUUGGGAGGGUGUAUUUGGGUCAGGUUGGUGGUUAUGUUGGGAGGGUGUGUUUGGGGCAAGUUGGUGGUCAUGUUGGGAGGCUGUGUUUGGGUCAGGUUGGGGGUCAGGUUGGUGGUCAUGUUAAGAGGGCCCAACUGGGUUGGGUUUGUGGUAAUAUUAAAAGGGACCAUCUGAUUUGGAGCUGUGGUCAUGUUGAGAAGGCUCAUCUGGCUAUGGUUUGUGGUCAUGUUGGGAGGGCGUGUUUG